rnacentral:lncRNA from 1 species
CGGGCGGAGCGCUGCUCGGCGCGGCGCGAUGGCGUCAGGCGGCUCCGCCCGGCCCGGCGCCGCGGCGGCCGUCAGUGCUCACCCCCUUGGGCUGCCUUUAUUCUCCUCUUGGCCCUGAGGAUGGGACAUCUCCUGGUACAGCUGUCACCGAGCCUGGAGCAGAGCAGGGACCCUCAACCACGGAUGGACAGAUGGACAACCCUGGAGAGACAACCAUAUCUGUGCCAGGCUGGGGAUGUGGGCAUGCGGAUGGUUAUACUUUGAUGGCUGCUCUGUAUUAUGACAAGCAAAGAUAACACACCAGACAGCACGCUUGUUCCAGCCUCCACGAGACCUCAUACCAAUCCCUGGCCAGGUUCAUCAGCAGUGAGAAGUAGUAGCACUUGGUAGCCCAGUUCUGCCACUUUGCCUUCUUGAUGUCAGACUGGAGUCCGACGCUCUUCAACCACAGCACCGUGUCGCAGAAGAAGUACAGAGCACGGGUCAGGUUGGAGGCUGUCAGGCAGAUGCGAGGAAGCACUUCGGGAAGCUCUGUAGUUUUCCUGGCUGCUACCAAGGCGUGCACCACAUUGCCCAGCCGGAACACUGCAAGUAAUGCCACAAAGGUCAGAAUGGCUACUGCAGGGGCGCAGCUCUGAGCACAGCUCAGCAUGUCACUGCCCCACGCGUACAUUCUAAAGACUUAACAGGCUUUGGGCAUUCGUAUGUUUAAACAACUCCUGCCUUAAGGAAAAUUGUGAAAUUUUGCCUCCUCGGCCAUGAGUUUGUCACAUAGUUCCCUGCAAACAGGGGCAGUAUAUUCCAUCCGAAGCCAUACCACAGGGCCAGCUGGAUUCCAUCCCUCGCGCAGGCUGGGUUUCACCCCACGAAUGUUAAUACAAUAGUGUGCAAAACACUUUUUAUAACCUGCUGCACUACAACAGUGGCAGAUGUUGGCAGCACCCGAGGGUUAGUGGAGCUGCAAGGCUCUGAAUUUAGGCCUGAAGUCUGUUAGAGAUUCGUUUUGCAAGAGAAUUGAUUAAGCAAGAGGAUUACAGCUAUGCUGAUACACUCUCCUAGCAAUUAUGAUCCUCCAGACGUAAUUGCAAUAAUAAAACCAAUCUAUG